UACGUAGGGUGCGGGCGUUAAUCGGAAUUACUGGGCGUAAAGCGUGCGCAGGCGGUUUGUUAAGACCGAUGUGAAAUCCCCGGGCUCAACCUGGGAACUGCAUUGGUGACUGGCAAGCUAGAGUAUGGCAGAGGGGGGUAGAAUUCCACGUGUAGCAGUGAAAUGCGUAGAGAUGUGGAGGAAUACCGAUGGCGAAGGCAGCCCCCUGGGCCAAUACUGACGCUCAUGCACGAAAGCGUGGGGAGCAAACAGG
rnacentral:rRNA from 1 species